AUUGAACGCUGGCGGCAGGCCUAACACAUGCAAGUCGAGCGGUAGAGAGGUGCUUGCACCUCUUGAGAGCGGCGGACGGGUGAGUAAUGCCUAGGAAUCUGCCUGGUCGUGGGGGAUAACGUCCGGAAACGGACGCUAAUACCGCAUACGUCCUACGGGAGAAAGCAGGGGACCUUCGGGCCUUGCUCUAUCAGAUGAGCCUAGGUCGGAUUAGCUAGUUGGUGAGGUAAUGGCUAACCAAGGCGACGAUCCGUAACUGGUCUGAGAGGAUGAUCAGUCACACUGGGACUGAGACACGGUCCAGACUCCUACGGGAGGCAGCAGUGGGGAAUAUUGGACAAUGGGCGAAAGCCUGAUCCAGCCAUGCCGCGUGUGUGAAGAAGGUCUUCGGAUUGUAAAGCACUUUAAGUUGGGAGGAAGGGUACUUACCUAAUACGUGAGUAUUUUGACGUUACCGACAGAAUAAGCACCGGCUAACUCUGUGCCAGCAGCCGCCGUAA
rnacentral:rRNA from 1 species